AGCAAAGUACACGAAAUAAUAAAGGAGAUUCUCAUAGGAGGAGGGGAAGUUUUAGAAUUUUAGAAGAAGAAGAAGAAGUAGUGGGGUGGGCCCCGACCCGAAAACAAAGUGGUGUACUAGCUGGCAAACCGGUCUGACAGACUGGUUCUUCCCAUAGCCAACACCACCAACAUCAACAACCAUCACCUUCUCCAUUUUCUUCAAACCCCCCGUCUCCCCCUCAAUCCCUCACCACUCAAACCUCAACUUCCACUUCUUCCUCACCAUUUUUAAGACCCCCAACCCCUCUCUCUCUCUCUCUCUCUCUCUCUCUCUCAAGAUUUGAUAAACAUAAUUAAUUCUUAUGGCUGAGGAGCACCAGAAGCCCGAGGCUGCUGCUGUUGCAGAAGCACCAGCAACUUACAGUGAGGAAGUUGUGGUGGUGGCUGAUGCGCCGCCUGCCGAGAAGGCUGUACCCGAGAAAGAAGGUCCUCCGGAGGCCGAGGCUGAGGCGGUAGCCGAGAAGCCUGUGGCUGAGGAGAAGGCCCCCAAGGCUGCUGAGGAGGAUCAGAAAAUCAUCGCUCAGUCGGUUUCUUUCAAGGAGGAGAGCUAUGUUGUUGGUGAGCUUCCCGAGCCGCAGAAGAAGGCUCUUGAGGAGCUCAAGCAACUCAUCCAGGAGGCCCUCAACAAGCACGAGUUCACUGCUCCGCCCACUCCGCCGCCGGCCAAGGAGGAAGAGAAGCCUGCACCGCCUGAGGAGAAGAAGGCCGAAGAAGAACCCAAAGCUGAGGUUGCUGCUGCUGAAGAACCAAAAACAGCAGAAGCAGCCAAAGAAGCCAAAGAAGAAGAGAAGCUCAAAGAGGAAGCCAAAGAAGAAGAGAAGCCCAAAGAGGAAGCCAAAGAAGAAGACAAGCCCAAAGAAGAAGAAGACAAGCCCAAAGUGGAAGAAGAAGACAAGCCAACAGGGACUGUGGCUGUGGUUGUGACAGAGGAGGUUGUGGAGACUGUUGACGAUGACGGCGCAAAGACCGUAGAGGCCAUCAAAGAGACCAUAGUGGAAGUUGCCUCUGCUUCUGCAGCAGAGGAGGCUGCAGCCGAGCCCAAACCAGACGCCGCCGGAGGAGGUGCAUAUCUGGGGAAUUCCGCUUCUCAGUGACGAGCGGAGCGACGUCGUUCUGCUAAAGUUCCUGAGAGCCAGGGACUUCAAGGUGAAGGACGCGUUCGCCAUGAUCAAGAACAGCGUGCGGUGGAGGAAGGAGUUUGGCAUCGACGCCCUUCUGGAGGAGGAUCUUGGAAGCCAUUGGGACAAGGUGGUUUUCACCCAUGGAGUUGACAAGGAAGGCCACUCUGUCUGCUACAACGUUUUUGGGCAGUUUCAGAACAAGGAGCUCUACCAGAACACCUUCACAGAUGAAGAGAAGAGGUCGAAGUUCAUCAAGUGGAGGAUCCAGUUCUUGGAGAAGAGCAUCAGAAAGUUUGACUUCAACCCUACCGGGAUUUCUACAAUUGUUCAGGUCAAUGAUCUCAAGAACUUCCCUGGUUUCUUCAAGUGGGAGCACAACCAGGUCACCAACCAGGCCCUUCAAUUGCUUCAGGAUAACUACCCUGAGUUUGUAGCCAAACAGGUGUUCAUCAAUGUCCCAUGGUGGUAUCUUGCUUUCAACAGGAUGAUCAGCCCCUUCCUCACCCAGAGGACCAAGAGCAAGUUUGUGUUUGCUGGUCCUUCCAAGUCUGCUGAGACCCUUUUCAAAUAUAUUGCUCCUGAGCAUGUACCAGUUCAGUAUGGUGGGCUAAGCAGGGAAGGUGAGCAUGAAUUCACCACAUCUGAUCCUGUCACUGAGAUCACAGUUAAGCCAGCCACAAAGCACACAGUUGAAAUCCCAGUCUCUGAGAAUGGUCUUCUGGUUUGGGAAGUGAGAGUGGUGGGAUGGGAUGUAAGCUAUGGAGCCGAAUUUGUGCCGUCCGCGGAGGACGGGUACACCAUAAUAUUGCAGAAGACCAGGAAGGUUGCUCCAGCUGAUGAGCCAGUGAUCUCAAACAGCUACAAGAUUGGGGAGGCAGGCAAGGUUGUGCUCACCAUUGAUAACCAAAGUUCCAAGAAAAAGAAGCUCCUCUACAGGUCCAAGACCAAGCCUUGCUCCGAUUGAACAAAGAAAGCUUGAAUAAUUCAAUUAUUCAUGCCUGUCUUGGAUCAGCAAUUCCAAUCAAACAGAAGACAAUUCAAUUGCAGCAUUGCAGAAUAAACAAGUCUGGGGCUUCUUUGUUUUCUUUUUUCUUUAAUUUUUAAAUACAGGGUUAAUUAUUUUUUCUUCUUUUGGUUGAUAUUUUUUUUUUGUUUUGCAAUGAAGAAAAACAAAGUCUGGGGGUAUUUUUAUUCAUAUUUGUUUUAGUGUACGGGGGUUUUGGUAAUUUUGUUUGGAUUGUUUGUAAACAAUAGUUGAAGUCGAGUCCUGGAUGGAUAGAUGAUGGCUUGUCGUGACAGUACAUAUGAUAUGUUGGGGGAAUUGGAAUGUGUGUCGACAUGGGACAGAAACUCUUUCUUUAUACUCUUUUGCCUGUAAAAUCUGUGUAAAUUUGGUCUCUUCUGUUUCCUGUUAUUUUUUGUUUGUCAUUUUUUAUUUCUAAGCCUUGAGUUUAUCUGUUGUUGUAUGCCUAUUUUAAUAAAACUAUGUUAUUUAUUAA